GUGCUUGCAUCAUGAUUUACAUUUGAGUGAGUGGCGAACUGGUGAGUAACACGUGGGAAACCUGCCCAGAAGCGGGGGAUAACACCUGGAAACAGAUGCUAAUACCGCAUAACAACUUGGACCGCAUGGUCCGAGUUUGAAAGAUGGCUUCGGCUAUCACUUUUGGAUGGUCCCGCGGCGUAUUAGCUAGAUGGUGGGGUAACGGCUCACCAUGGCAAUGAUACGUAGCCGACCUGAGAGGGUAAUCGGCCACAUUGGGACUGAGACACGGCCCAAACUCCUACGGGAGGCAGCAGUAGGGAAUCUUCCACAAUGGACGAAAGUCUGAUGGAGCAACGCCGCGUGAGUGAAGAAGGGUUUCGGCUCGUAAAACUCUGUUGUUAAAGAAGAACAUAUCUGAGAGUAACUGUUCAGGUAUUGACGGUAUUUAACCAGAAAGCCACGGCUAACUACGUGCCAGCAGCCGCGGUAAUACGUAGGUGGCAAGCGUUGUCCGGAUUUAUUGGGCGUAAAGCGAGCGCAGGCGGUUUUUUAAGUCUGAUGUGAAAGCCUUCGGCUCAACCGAAGAAGUGCAUCGGAAACUGGGAAACUUGAGUGCAGAAGAGGACAGUGGAACUCCAUGUGUAGCGGUGAAAUGCGUAGAUAUAUGGAAGAACACCAGUGGCGAAGGCGGCUGUCUGGUCUGUAACUGACGCUGAGGCUCGAAAGUAUGGGUAGCAAACAGGAUUAGAUACCCUGGUAGUCCAUACCGUAAACGAUGAAUGCUAAGUGUUGGAGGGUUUCCGCCCUUCAGUGCUGCAGCUAACGCAUUAAGCAUUCCGCCUGGGGAGUACGGCCGCAAGGCUGAAACUCAAAGGAAUUGACGGGGGCCCGCACAAGCGGUGGAGCAUGUGGUUUAAUUCGAAGCUACGCGAAGAACCUUACCAGGUCUUGACAUACUAUGCAAAUCUAAGAGAUUAGACGUUCCCUUCGGGGACAUGGAUACAGGUGGUGCAUGGUUGUCGUCAGCUCGUGUCGUGAGAUGUUGGGUUAAGUCCCGCAACGAGCGCAACCCUUAUUAUCAGUUGCCAGCAUUAAGUUGGGCACUCUGGUGAGACUGCCGGUGACAAACCGGAGGAAGGUGGGGAUGACGUCAAAUCAUCAUGCCCCUUAUGACCUGGGCUACACACGUGCUACAAUGGAUGGUACAACGAGUUGCGAACUCGCGAGAGUAAGCUAAUCUCUUAAAGCCAUUCUCAGUUCGGAUUGUAGGCUGCAACUCGCCUACAUGAAGUCGGAAUCGCUAGUAAUCGCGGAUCAGCAUGCCGCGGUGAAUACGUUCCCGGGCCUUGUACACACCGCCCGUCACACCAUGAGAGUUUGUAACACCCAAAGUCG
rnacentral:rRNA from 2 species